rnacentral:lncRNA from 1 species
GUUGCACUUGAGUUAGUUUAGCUGAAUCGUAUCUGUAUGGGAACACGUAUCUGCACAGUGUCCUUCACUUAAAAAGAGAAAGAAAGGCAAGUAUCAGAAGACCUAUAUACCAAGUAUCCAAAGGCCAGUUGUCCUUAACGCUGGGGGCACAUUAGAAUCACCUGGAACACUUUUAAAACAAACCAGUGUCUGAGCCCCACUCUUCUGAAAUUCUGCUUUAUUAGUCUGGGGUGGGGCCUGGCUGGCAGUAAGUGUCAAAAGCUGAUUAAAAUGUACAGCAAUAGUUAAGACUCAGGAUUAAAUAGUAUACUAAUACAACAAACUUUGACCCAAUGAAGUAAAUUUCUUUGUAGAUAAAGAUUGGGUAAUAUAUUAUAGUUAUUAAAGUGAAUUACUGUUUGUUCCUAAGGACUCCUAUGCUACAAAUUAAUGAAAACUUCAGGAAAUGUUUAAGAUAGUAGACUUAGAGGAUAAUGUUCUUUAGUUUUCUUUUAUUUUUUCUAAGUGUGAUAAGUGUGUAGGAUAUACCUUUUAUCUGAGGAGGUUACAAUGUCUGAAUGUCAGUGAGCCUCAUUUUAGGACAUUUUUUCCAAUUGUUAAAUUUUUGGAAAUUUUGAAAACUAUUAAAUUGUUAGUGGCUUGAGAUUUUGGUCAUGCUGACAGUAUUCACACCAUGAAAGUCAGCAAACAUUACAGAUCAGGUCUUUGUUUCUUCUGGAAAGUGGGUUGUUAAACAUCUACCUGCUAUGAGAGUAAGAUCAAAAGGAUGAAAUUUGACUAGGCUUCCAAUAUUUGUCAACCCUGUAUUUUUACAGAUGUAAAACUGAGGCUCAGAAACUUUAAGCAACUUGUCAAGGAAAUUGCUGGUGGAACCAAGAAUACAAGCCAGCUUGCUAGAGUGUCACAUCUGUCCUGACUCCGGUCUACAUUGCAAAUGCUUGUCAAAUGUCUUGGGUCUUGGACAAGUCACAACUGUGUUACCUUCAAUGAAAACAGCAGACAAAUCUUAUUUGUAAUAUUUUUUGUGAUUCUCAGAAUUUGCCAAGGAUCAAUGGAAGCAUUUGCCUCUUGUCACAUUCAGGCCACUGAACAGGUGGCCUGAACAGCUUGGGCUACUGAAGUGGCAUUGAACUCAGAGCCAAGAUAUCUGAACAUUGCCGAAGAAAAAUACUGCAAAGAAAAUGAGAUAAAAGUGUAGGUGAUCGAGAGCAGGACUGAGAAGUGUAGGAAAGAUAUUAAAAGAAAGAUUGUGGGCAGGGCACAGUGGCUCAUGCCUGUAAUCUCAGCACCUGGGGAGGCCGAAGCAGGCAGAUCACUUGAGGUCAGGAGUUCAAGACCACCCCGGCCAACAUGGUGAAACCCCAUCACUACUAAAAAUACAAAAAUUAGCUGGGCGUCGUGGUGGACACCUGUAAUCCCAGCUACUCAGGAGGCUGAGGCAGGAGAAUCACUUGAACCUGGGAGGUGGAGGCUGCAGUGAGCCGAGAUCAUGCCACUGCACUCCAGCCUGGGUGACAAAGCAAGACUCUGCCUCAAAAAAAAAAAAAAAGAAAUAUAGUGGUUGUUGGUGGUGUCUUUAAACUUGCUUUGUUUUCCCCUGAGAAUCUGAAUUCCUUAAAAUAGCUAAAAGAAUGUCUCCAGUCUAACAAGGGAAUUAUUGAAAACAUUAUUCACAUACCAUAUUUCUAAGAAAUUAAUUUUCAUGCAAAUCUAUUUGAUCUGCUGAAGUUUUCAGUUCCUUGACAUAGACCUAAUUUUUUUCUGACACAGCAAAAUAGCAUCUUCAUUUGGUCUCUGUACAUGAUAGACUUCCUAACUUAGCUAAACAAAUGCGUGUUCUCUAGAACUAGCCUCCAAUGAACAUAAUCAAAAUUGCAUAAAGAAUAGAUUUUCAAUGUUUUCACCACAAAAAAGAUAAGUUGCUGAGGUGAUGGAUAUAAAUUACUUAGUUUGACUAAAUCUCUCUACAAUACAUAAAUAGAUCAAAACAUCACAUUGUAUUCUAUAAAUAUAUGCAAUUAUUAUUGGUCAAUUAAAAAUAAAUUUGUAAAAAAUCUUGAAUAGAAUGUAAGCAGAGAAAAGAAAGAAAUCCUUUCCUGAAUCAAAAAUGUCAGUUUCCAAAUGUGUGAAUCAUUAAUACUGAAUAAGAAGCACAGUACUAUCUCAUUUCAGCCAUUUCUUCUUUCUCUAUCUCACUUCUUUACUUAAAAAAUUAAAAUGGGCUUCCUAACCUUUCCCAUUAUACCCCUCAAUAUUAACAGUAAUUUUAGCUUAUUUGAUAUUUUUCUUAAAAAUACAACUAUUUGAACAGUAUUGCGUUAUUUAAGACAAGUAAAAUUCCAAAUAUUUUCAAGACAAAAUAACAAGCUGUAUUGCAGCAGGUUUUCAAGUAGAAUAAUAAAGUUUACGUGCAAGAAAAAUAAAACUUUUGGCUUGGUUUGUAAAUAUGUGUCAAACUAAUGUAUUCUUGCCCACAAUAUUUCCUAUAAUAUCCCAUUCUGUUGGGCUUAACUCAAAGUUAUUCAUCUGUUUUUAAAACUUAGAUUCUCCCACGCAUUGGAAAUUGUUAGAGAUGUAUUAUGGGGAGCUUUGGGCAGAGGUCCCAGGAAUACCCACACUCAUCCUAGCCCAGCUACUCUUCCGAUGAGAUCCUAUGGUAAGUAGGUAAGCAGGGAGGAAUGGAGCCAGCAAAAUAUCUUUCCUAGUGGACCCUGGGGCGUAAACCUCAAAGAAGAGUAUUAAUGAGAGAGGCAAUAGACAAUCAUCAGUUGCCUUUGUCUGACAGCUACCUAUGGCCUCAAAAUAAGGAAAUUGGAGAGGCCUAUUCUUGCCUUCCUACCAAGCCCACACUUGCAACUUGCCUGUAGACACAGUGGGAGGACGAAACCUCAGUGCAGAGCAUGCCAGCCUCCGCAAGGAGGAAGAGAGUAGUGGGAGCAAUGAGAGAGGCUGCCUCCAGUGUCCGGAGAUGCCCACCCAGAGCUAUUCAAAUCUACCCAGUCCAGGUUGGUCUAACCCAGAAGAUCUGAAAGCCCCAUAAAACACUGAAGAAGGGAGCUGAGGAAGAAGCAAGAUUUCUCCUUCCUCUAUCCUAGGAGCAAAAAUAUAGCCACAGGAAACGAAGAGUGGAAGAAACAGAUUGGCCUUCUCCCAACUCUGGUGGAAGAGACACAGAAAGAAGUGUGACUACAGUGGGCGUUAGUCCCAAUACUGUGUCUUCACCAUAGACACCACCUUAAAAAAAUGUGGCCCAAUUAAUAUCCUAGAC